UAUAAAGACGUUGUUUUACCAGACGCUUGUUCUACCCGAGUAAACGUACGAGGAGCGUUACGAUGUCCACUGUGAAGCUUGCGCUCACCCUAAUUUUCUUAACCACAGUCAUGGUGAUGAAUGUCUCAAGUCAGCGCACCCAAACAAGGCCGCAGCCGCAGUGUGUUGGUAAGGUAAGAAACAGUAUACGUCCGUUGCACUCGUUUCGUAAAGUCCAGUUCUUCAUAUACGCCUUGCGACCCAAGGUACUUUCAUGGGACGUGCGGCAGUGAAUGCAAUUGCGAUAACACCACUGUGAAGGGCGAGCGUGGAUACUUCUGUACACAGGCAAUAUUUUAAAUACAACCUACCAUAUGCCACGU